UACAGAGGGUGCGAGCGUUGCUCGGAAUUACUGGGCGUAAAGGGCGUGUAGGUGGUAAUGUAAGUCUGGCGUGAAAUUUUUCGGCUUAACCGGAAAGGUCGUCGGAUACUGCAUCACUAGAGGACGGUAGAGGCGUGUGGAAUUCCGGGUGUAGUGGUGAAAUGCGUAGAGAUCCGGAGGAACACCAGUGGCGAAGGCGACACGCUGGGCCGUACCUGACACUGAUGCGCGACAGCAUGGGGAGCAAACAGG
rnacentral:rRNA from 1 species